rnacentral:rRNA from 1 species
GAUGAACGCUGGCGGCGUGCUUAACACAUGCAAGUCGAACGGAAAGGCUCCUGCUUGCAGGGGUACUCGAGUGGCGAACGGGUGAGUAACACGUGGGUGAUCUGCCCUGCACUUCGGGAUAAGCCUGGGAAGCUGGGUCUAAUACCGGAUAGGACGAUGGUUUGGAUGCCAUUGUGGAAAGUUUUUUCGGUGUGGGAUGAGCUCGCGGCCUAUCAGCUUGUUGGUGGGGUAAUGGCCUACCAAGGCGUCGACGGGUAGCCGGCCUGAGAGGGUGUACGGCCACAUUGGGACUGAGAUACGGCCCAGACUCCUACGGGAGGCAGCAGUGGGGAAUAUUGCACAAUGGGCGCAAGCCUGAUGCAGCGACGCCGCGUGGGGGAUGACGGCCUUCGGGUUGUAAACUCCUUUCGCUAGGGACGAAGCGCAAGUGACGGUACCUGGAGAAGAAGCACCGGCUAACUACGUG